UCCCUGGUAGCUCAGCUGGUAAAGAAUCCACCCGCAGUGUGGAAGACCUAGGUUCGGUUCCUGGCUUGGGAA
rnacentral:tRNA from 1 species